rnacentral:rRNA from 1 species
AGUUUGAUCAUGGCUCAGAUUGAACGCUGGCGGCAUGCCUUACACAUGCAAGUCGAACGGUAACGGGCCUUCGGGUGCCGACGAGUGGCGAACGGGUGAGUAAUGCAUCGGAACGUACCUUCAGUGGGGAUAACGUAGCGAAAGUUACGCUAAUACCGCAUAUUCUGUGAGCAGGAAAGCAGGGGAUCGCAAGACCUUGCGCUGAUUGAGCGGCCGAUGUCAGAUUAGCUAGUUGGUGAGGUAAAGGCUCACCAAGGCGACGAUCUGUAGCGGGUCUGAGAGGAUGAUCCGCCACACUGGAACUGAGACACGGUCCAGACUCCUACGGGAGGCAGCAGUGGGGAAUUUUGGACAAUGGGGGCAACCCUGAUCCAGCCAUGCCGCGUGAGUGAAGAAGGCCUUCGGGUUGUAAAGCUCUUUCGGCCGGGAAGAAAUCGUAUGGGCUAAUACCCUGUGCGGAUGACGGUACAGGCAUAAGAAGCACCGGCUAACUACGUG